rnacentral:snRNA from 1 species
UUUCUGCCCAGUGCUCUG